CCUGCAGCUUCCACCCCCUGCUAAAACCUUUGUUCUGUCUUGCAGAUGCAAAGACCCCAUUGGAGUCUCUGUAAGUACCGAUCUCGAAGAAAGGAACAUGGCUGGCUGGAUGCAGCCGGCAAGCGAAGACUGGGGGAUCUUGCCAAAAGGCAAAAGCCCCAUGUCAAAAGCCAGGCAUCCAUUAGAAGAAAAGAAGGCAGAUGAAGACGCCGAUUCUGGAGCCGAAUUCGAAUUCCCCGAAAUUGAUGCAACGUACUCGCUUCUCGGCUUCCCCUGCUCCACAUUCUUCCUGGAAGAAAACAACAGACCCUCAGAUACUGAAAACCCAAACCCUCACCAUGAAAUGAAACAAGGCGGCCAUUUUUAGGAGCCCAAAAGGAUAGGACAGUUCCCCAGUGGAGGUGUGAACCACGAAGGCCUGAUCCACUGAUGAAAAGCCACUUUCACAGGCUCCACUGAAAUGAAUGGGGAGCUUGCACCCCAGCCCACGAAUGUUCUUCUGCUCCAUCGAAAUGAGUGGGUGUGGGACAGACACAGUUCAACCAGGUAAAGGAAAUUCCACCUGGGUUGCUGUCUCAAGUUCCUGGACCUCAGGGAGGAGAAUUCCUGUCUUACAGACAAAGGACUUUGACUUCCAAUAGAUUUAAAAAAUAAUUUUGUAAAUUGUGUGUCCUUGUUGCUCAACUUGACCCUUUUACAUGGUUUUGUGGUAUUUAUGCACUGUGAUUCGCUGUUAUUUUAUUGAUUAUAGAUUAGUAAUUCUUUAUUGUAAUUGAUAACUGUGAACUGCUAGUUUAUUAUUUGCUGGUGUUUAAUUUUACUGUUUAGUAUUGGAUCCUAGUGGAUUGUUGAGUAUUGUUUUAUUUGAUAUGUUGUUUAUUUUAAAGCUAUUGUGG